AAACGAAAGAAGACUGUUAAGUUCCACUACCAGCUGAUUAUUACAGAGUACAUCAAGUACAUCAUGUAAAUAAUAAUAAGGUCAAUUCGGUACGCACGAACUGAUUGACGUGUCGUAUAUGCAAUAGCUAUGUUUAGUGAAAAACAAUUUAGGUACCUACACCGAUAAAUCUAGCGAUAAAUAUUAAUCUAUUUGAUUUAUUAGGGAAUUUGUGAACGAUAAAUAAAUAACGAAAUGAUUUAGCAAAUUCUGAUCUUUGAGAACUAUACGAAGUAACGAAAGUAAAAGCUAAUGAUUUUUUACUCAAAGUAAAAUAUUGGCAUUUACAUUAAAAUUCUUUACCAAUAAAUAGAAUGAAGCUAGUCAGUAAGGUAUAAACAGUUUCAUUGUAGCUUUAAUCACACGCAAUAUAAACUUGUUCCAAUAUAUUACGCAUACUUAUAAUAAGAUAGUAUGACGUAAGCAACUGGUAGUUUAAAAUUCAAUAUUUUGAAAAUUAACAUGUUUUAUAACAUAAGAAUUAUAUUCAGGCGGGUACCUGUCAUAAAGUCAAAUUACCUAGAUUUGUAUGACAUGACUACCCACAUAGUUUAGUGAAACACUAAGUUUUUAUUCACAUACCGUCAUAAUUUUGUGAGCACAAGCUCGCAGCGAGUACAAUGUGCGAAAACGGAGAACAUUGUUUAUAGGAAUGGUCCAUAAUGAUCGUACUGCGUACAGCUGGAACCGAUCCAAAUGUAUCUAAAAUAGAUCGCUCGCUAAAACGGCCGAGCGCUUUUUAAAGCUCAGGAAUUUAGGUAGGCUUCAUAUACAUAUAAACAUAUCUAUCUCGCAGACAUUGCGGACGUAGUUAAAGACUGCUUUUGUCUGGUAUUUCGGGUUCGGCCUGCAGAAACUAACAACUCGGGUAACUUUUAACAUCCACGCUUUAAGAAUAUAAUGUGAGGUACCUAUAGUAUGCUAACCUAAAUCUUCAUGUCAGUGUGUCAAUGUUUGCUUAACGAGAUUACAUUGGAAGUAUUUCAACGUAAGGUGUUUCUACGUUACCCAGCACGCGCGUAAAUUACAAUGUUUUGAUAUACUUCUAAAAAACACCCAACGAGUCAUGUACCAACAGUUUACAUUAAUAAAAUAAGAUCUAACCACCCAAGAUCAAAGUGCAAUAAGUACGCGAGAUUAGAUUACAGAUUAGUUGGUAAUGAGGACAGUAGUGUUGGCCACGAUGUACAGUUCACAUAGAUUUAGAAGGAAGCUGACCGAUACUAACUUAGAAGGACAAACAACAACUUCAUAUUUGUUAUAGAAACAUGUUUCGUUGUUUACUGAGGAAAUGACGAUCGGAAAAUUUUGCAUUAGGAAAGUUUGUGAGCCAUGCUGGAUAUUUUUAGGUCAUAUAUUGACACAGCGGGGAUCCCAGAAACCUUGACAUGCAUGUUAUUUCCUACAUAGCCGGCGUACAUAACAAUUUUGAAAUUCUUAUACAUAACUACUGUUUGAACCGAUGGGGACAUCCAAAAAUACAAAUGAUGUAAUGUUAGAGAUGUCGUAAAUACGAACAGCGCCCCCGAUUGUUCAUAUAAUUUGUUUUCAUAUGUUGAUCAAAUGUAUGCGUAAGAGAGGGGAGAGUUUUCAGUCUCACAUUUUUAAGUAAAAAUAACUGGUCGCGGAAAUAGCUGAUACAUUAAGACUAAUUCAGUUGUUGACAAGUCAUACUCCUCCAAGUACCUACAACCUAUUCGUGGGAACUGAAAAAAAAAGUACGUAAUCAAAACAUUGCCGUUGCGCUACGCAGCGUUCACGCCAGCUGACGUGACUGUGAGACGGAUCAACUGGGUACAAGUACUUCGGUAGUGGCAUGUGUACGAUGUCGUCACGCGGGCCGCGGGUGGCGGGCGGCGGGGCGGGCGCGGCGGCCUGAUGGGGUUUUCCCAACAAUGUGGCGGCCGCGGCUCAGCGACUGGCGACGCACGCGCCUCAACUGUCCUCGCCAAAUAUGGCGCGCUACCACUCGAUUUUCACUAUUUCCGUAUAUCAUUCAGACACUAACCUCCCUAAUUUCUAUGACCAUUAACUAGCAAUGGCCGUUGAACUCGCGGUGGAAUUUUUACAUUUAUUAGUUUAAUGUCGGUUCUUGGUAUUUCCCAUAGUUUACUUAUUAAUUAAGUAUUUUCAAAAUAAAAGAGUCGUAAUAAAAUUGCUUGUUAUGUAAUAUACUGUAAGCUUUUGUGGAAGAACAUUUUUUCCUUAUUUACGAAACGAAUCAUAAACGUAGCUAACGAACGGUAGGCAGUCGGUGCUAACCGCAGCUAUACCCAGGGUAAUGCCCAUGCGUUGGCACAUGAAUUGUGCCAUCUAUUAAAAGUAAAAUUCCUUUAAUGACUAGGUAACAGAAAGGUUUUACUAAUCAAGAUUCUACAAAUAUACAUCAGAUAUUUGAAUAUGCUCCCGCUUGAAUCGGCCCCGACGCCACAUUGAUGUGCCCCAAACUAUAUUUAGCGGCUGCAUCAUCCGCAACGUUCGGUUGUCGCGAGCGGACAUUUUCAAAAUAUCCAUGCGGAACCCUGGCGACGGCGGCGACGUUUCAACAGGUUUUCUUGUAAAAACCCAGGUUGCCUUGCAAACAGAGCUCACGACUAAACUCUCAACAAAAUUUUCUACAUAAAUAUAAAUUAAUUGACGUGUCGCAGCUGUCGUUUGCCGGUUUGGGUAAUUUUGUACAAACAUGGGGAAUAACGUCGCAUAUUAACUGUCCUACACGCUACCAUUCUGUUUCUGUUCAAUGAGCUGAGCGGCUGAGGGCACGAGGUUACAGACAAUGUAUGCACGCGCAGGCAGGAGACGUCACUUCGACUUUUUAGAAGUCUACGCGUUUGAUUGUGGUAUAAUGCCGUCGGAUUCGUUAAGUUCUUGACUACCUAGGCGACGCAAGUAUGAUUCGGUUUAUUUUCCUCAUAGGAACUUCCAAUUAUUAAAAUUACGCCAUUCGAGUGUCACAGGAUAGUGUAGAAUAUUUAAAUAUUUUACUUUAUACAGGUAUACUAUAAAUGGCUGAACCUAUGUUUACAAGAUCAGUUCUCAACAAGUGUGACGUAAACUUGCAAAGAGGUGUUGAAAUUUUCAUGAUAAUAAAUUGCGUCGCAGGACAUUGAAAAACCAGGUUGAGUGUCGGAAAACCCCAAGUUUUAUAUAAACGGUACCAGGGUUUAAUACAGGUAGAUAGCAACGGUUUACAAGCGCUCACCUAUGUAGAUAACGAUUCUUCAAACAUGAUCGUAAAACAUGCAGAUAAGUGAUUAUUUCGGAAUGUGAAUGAAUUAUUCCAGGUUGAAUGUCACCAAUCGACCUUUGUGUUGUUUGUUUGAUUGUCCAAUAUCUACGUAUCUACUUAUCAAGAAGAUUCUAAAGAAAUAAAACAUGUGAUAACUUGGUACUUGUCAUGUACUUAUGCAUAUGCAUAUUAUGUUACUUAUGCAUAUAUUUUUAAUGCUUGCCCUUACACUAACGAAUGAGUCUCUAGAGCAAUAGCUUAGAAAAUUACUUUGACGCAUAUAAUUAAUGCCACAGUACUACGAUUACGAUUAUUAAUACCAAUUAUUUAAAUCUGCUAUUUACGUCUGUGGGAAAUCCAAAUAAAAUAACAAUUAGAGUUGUUGUCCUUGGAUAGCAAAAACGCACCUUGGCCAGAACAAACUAAGAACAGAUACAGCACUCUGAAUUAGUUCCAAGUUAGGUAUGUUACAUGCUUAGCAGAACAUUUAAGAAACCGGAAUCUCCGAAAUUCCCGAAUUUUUAAGCGGUCACUGCACGCACUGGGUGCUGUUAGCCUUGCCUUUAGUGUAAUGUACAGUCAAGAAAAUAGUUGUACAUCCGCAGGUAAAUGACAAGCAGAUACAUUUUAAAAUUGACAGAGUUAUUUGAGAUGGCGAUAUAAUUAGAAAGUGCGCCACAGUCCCACGUAACAUGUUCAUAAUACAUGCCGCGCUUGGGAUUUCCGUCCGUAUGUAACCGUGGCGAGGCACACUUUCACGUGGGUAUUGCCCGGGCCAUCAGCAUCAUGCAGCUACCAUUGUUCAGAGCACUGACAUCAAUGUGAACGACGCAAUGCCAAACGAUUGCGGUUUUCCUGGGUUAUGCUUACCUUCGACUAUUGGCGCAUUAAGAAGAAGAACUUGUAUACCUAUGCAAAUAUCGCUUCGUACUGGUGUUUUGAAAAAUAUAUUGACAAAGAAUAUUAUUACUUUUCGAGAUUAAAAGAAGUUGUUUGUCGUUUAAAAAUAAAUCGGCAAUAAAUAUACAGAUAGCGUACGCGUUGGCGCUACAACAUUCAUAAGUUAUUGAAAUUGUCCCAUCAGGAAAAACCAUCUCGCCGUGUCGCCUACUUAGCAUACUCGUAAUAGCUUUUCAAUUAACACUCGAACAAUGGUCGGGGUAACCCAAGUCAUGUGUACGGGCCGCUCGGCGCUGGUCUAGGGGCGUUACACGGUACCAAAAAGUUUGCUUUCACUCGGUGAGCGGCCGUCCGUGUUCGUUCGUUACGCGACCGGCUCGUCGUAACGCUGGGAAUACCCAACAGCCAACUGCCGACAGCCUCUGAACUCGAUAAUCUCACAAUCCACUUCGGCGGCCAAUCUGAUCAAUAGGCCAGCAAGAAAUUUUGACCCCACGCGCUCGCACAAACUAUUUAUGAAUUAAGCUUUCGAACAUAACAUGAAGUUUACCAAAAUGUUUUCGCAAGGUCGACAAUCGUGUCAAAUAAAUACAUAUGCAAAUACGUACAGAGGUAGAGCCAAAAUUCUUUUAUAUCAGGUUGGUGUGUUGUUUGUUAGCUUGGGAAAACCAGCCAUUAAAGAGCGUAAAGUAUUAUCUUUUUAAUGCAGUUUACAGAGGCAGGGAAUUCCUAAUUUGAUUUACUGUGAAUUAGAGUUAUUAGAAAAUGAUUUCUGCAACUGGGGCACUUUCCAGCAUGGCCAGGGGCUUCGCACAUACAGUUGUAAUGGCAUUGAGCGUAAUCAAGACCUUGACGGACGUCACAAGUAGCCUCAUGGGCACGGUGCGUUCACA